GGAGUUAGCCGGUGCUUCUUCUGCGAGUAACGUCACAGAUGUAAGGUAUUAACUUACACCCUUUCCUCCUCGCUGAAAGUGCUUUACAACCCGAAGGCCUUCUUCACACACGCGGCAUGGCUGCAUCAGGGUUUCCCCCAUUGUGCAAUAUUCCCCACUGCUGCCUCCCGUAGGAGUCUGGGCCGUGUCUCAGUCCCAGUGUGGCUGAUCAUCCUCUCAGACCAGCUAGGGAUCGUCGCCUAGGUGAGCCUUUACCUCACCUACUAGCUAAUCCCACCUGGGCUUAUCCAUCAGCGCAAGGCCCGAAGGUCCCCUGCUUUCCCCCGUAGGGCGUAUGCGGUAUUAGCAGUCGUUUCCAACUGUUAUCCCCACAAAUGGGCAAAUUCCCAGGCAUUACUCACCCGUCCGCCGCUCGUCAUCUUCAAAAGCAAGCUUUUGAAAUGUUACCGCUCGACUUGCAUGUGUUAGGCCUGCCGCCAGCGUUCAAUCUGAACCAAGAUCAAACUCUGA
rnacentral:rRNA from 1 species